GACGAACGCUGGCGGCGUGCUUAACACAUGCAAGUCGAACGAUGAAGCUAGAGCUUGCUCUGGUGGAUUAGUGGCGAACGGGUGAGUAACACGUGAGUAACCUGCCCCGAACUCUGGGAUAACUGCUGGACACGGUAGCUAAUACCGGAUAUGACCAAUGAAGGCAUCUUCUGUUGGUGGAAAGAAUUUCGGUUCGGGAUGGACUCGCGGCCUAUCAGCUUGUUGGUGAGGUAACGGCUCACCAAGGCGACGACGGGUAGCCGGCCUGGGCGGGUGAUCGGCCACACUGGGACUGAGACACGGCCCAUACUCCUACGGGAGGCAGCAGUGGGGAAUAUUGCACAAUGGGCGCAAGCCUGAUGCAGCAACGCCGCGUGAGGGACGACGGCCUUCGGGUUGUAAACCUCUUUGAGUAGGGAAGAAGCGAAAGUGACGGUACCUGCAGAAAAAGCACCGGCUAACUACGUGCCAGCCGCCGCAGUAA
rnacentral:rRNA from 1 species